rnacentral:rRNA from 1 species
UACGUAGGAGGCAAGCGUUGUUCGGAAUUACUGGGCGUAAAGCGCACGUAGGCGGCUAUUCAAGUCGGGGGUGAAAGCCCGGGGCUCAACCCCGGAACUGCCCUCGAAACUAGGUAGCUAGAAUCUUGGAGAGGCGAGUGGAAUUCCGAGUGUAGAGGUGAAAUUCGUAGAUAUUCGGAAGAACACCAGUGGCGAAGGCGACUCGCUGGACAAGUAUUGACGCUGAGGUGCGAAAGCGUGGGGAGCAAACAGG